AACUAACCUUUACCUUAGCAGGCUCGUUUGCCUCACUCUCUCUGGGUAAAGUAUAAUGACAAUUUGUCCACUUGUAAGGCAGGCAGGUUUCUUGUCAUUGGAACUCUAAACAAAAAGUCCUCGAUCAUGUUGUAAAAAAAAGAAAAAAGGCGCCGUUCUAAUUAAAGAAAAAGAAAAUGCACCACUUCCUUUACUUCUUUUUUUUUUUUUUUUUGGUAAAAAAUAGGAGGGGAGGGGGAGGGACCAGCCCACCCGCGUAGCAGCCCCAUUACUGAGCCCCCCUUCCACUAGAGAAUGUUCGAUACAGGUCGCAGGUUUCGCGUGCCUUCCCCGACCCGUGGGCUCACCCCACUGGGUUCAUCGCCUCACGUGUGAGUACGUCACCCCAGUGCCACCUUGGUACAAGUGGAAGUAAAGCAUAACCGCCAACAAGCCAGCCGAGCGUGGGGCAUCCGGUCCCCUAAUUUAAUCGACGCCCGUGCGUUUCGAACCCGGGCAACUUGGGCGGAAUUAUCGCCCCCUUACCACCAGGUUACUAUCUUGGUGGCUCUUCCUUUACCUUUUGAAGUAUACAAACCUCGCAACCAUAGCGGACUGAACAAAUGCUUCACUCAAGAAAAAGUUGGUGCUUCAUUUGAUAUCCAUUUAGGAACAUGAAUGGUGCCAUUUUCAAGCUCUAAUCGGGUUUCAUUACAGGAAAGCUUUGCGUAAUUUACUAGACAACAGAUUAUGCAUUCGCACAAAAUACCCUCCUAC
rnacentral:lncRNA from 1 species